UUUGGGUUCGGGGUUUGCCCGCAGAAGCCUGAGAUGAUUCCCUGCGUUACGUCGGAGGUGGAUUUAGCCUCUUAACACUCCGGGCAAGGAAAACCUCACCCUGAAGAUCUCAGGGCUCCGGAGGGAGCGGCUGGCACGAACACACACACACACACACACACACCCCCCCACAGCCUAGUACAGGGGAAGGUGUCUCUGCCCAGGGCAGAGGUGGAACGAGAUGAGCUUUCAGGUCCCUUCCAACCCAAACCAUCCUGGGAUUCCGGGAUUCCAAGGUUCAGAGCGGGCAUGCGGGGCAGGAUCGUGGCGGGGCUGAUUCCAGCGGCCGGUUCGCAGCUCCCGCCGACUCCCAGCGAGCGGCGCUGCCGAGCCGGGAAAGCCGUGGAGCGGCGGGGAGGAGGCGCUGGCGGGGCCGGGGGACACCGACGGGUCCCGAGCCCAGCCCCGGGCCGGUCCCGCCUGCCCGUUUUCGGAGUGGUUUGGGCUGUAAAUCCGGGCAGCUCCGGGCUGUGGAGCCCGUCUGUGCCCUCGAUUGUCUCAGCAAGUGUUGGGGACGCCCUUGCACCCACCGCGGUGCUCAUCCCCCCGCUGUCUCAGAGCUGGGGGUGCGGGUUGGGCACCCCGAUCCCGGGCGGUGACAGCAACUCGGGGACACAUCCUGAAUUAUAGCUGGUCCCAGCCCUGGCCGCACCAUCCCUGCUGCGUGGAUGCUUCCAAGGACUUAAAUGCUCCAGCAGCCAUCUGAGGUGCCCAGAAACCCGCACAUUCCCCGGGAUAAGCCAAAUUUAUCCCCAGCGAGGACAGGUUGUUGGCUACAUCAUGACAGCCCCAUUAUCACCUUAAAUCCAAAGCAAUCAGCUUUUUACUUGCAAAGGGCUGGGAGCUUGUGGACCCCCACCCUGCCAAGCUCUUCUGCUGUGUCUGCAAGGACGGAGCUCGUUUUGGAGGGGCUUGUGGAGGGACCCCGAUUCCCAGCCACCGCUGGCACUCCAAGGACCCCAAGGUGCCCACCAACAGGGCUGUUCUGAACCUCAGCCAAGCCCACCAACAGCAUCACUUUGCCUUGGGGAAGCAGCAGCAACACUCUAACCAAGACCAAAUCACUGGACCUCCUCCUGGGCUCUUGCCAAGGCAAAGAAACUCCAGCCACGUUUUGGGGAUGUACCGGAUGCCAAAGACGCAGUGGACGUAGUUCCAGAUGGCCCGGCGCAGCAUGGAGGUGUCCACGCCGCAGUGCAUGGCGAUGGUGUUGUAGGUCAGGUUGUAAACCACCUGGAACUUCUCAUCCAGGAGCUGCCCCACAUCCGGGUACAGGCGGUUGAUCAGCGAGUAGCCAUGGUCCUCCCAGGUGUAAUCCUGAUGGAGAAAGGAUGCUGGGGCUCUGCCAGUGGGAGGAAGCAUAGCCAGGACACGUGACCCAAACUGACCACAAAGAUAUUCCACACCAGAGAACGUCAUGCCCAGUAUAUAAACUGGGGGGAGUUACCUGGAAGGGGCCAAUCUGGGUUUGGGAAGACGGCUCUGGCAUCGGUCAGCAGACACUGAGCAAUUGCAUUGUGCAUCACUUGUUUUUUCCAUUUUCAUUGUCAUUAUUAUCAUUUACCAUUAUUAUUGUAUUUUACUUUAUUUUCAAUAAUUAAACUGUUCUUACCUCAGCAUACAAGUUUU